UUUUCCCGGGUUUGGAUCCUGCCGAAGGGCUACUGCUAGAGGGAGGUCGAUAGCCAUGCGAGUCUAGGGAUCUUCGGAUCCCGGGCGUAAUGCUCAGUAACACGUGGAUAAUCUACCCUCAGGUGGGGCAUAAACCCGGGAAACUGGGGCCAAUUCCCCAUAAAUACAGAUGGCCGGAAUGCUUCUGUAUUCAAAGCUCCGGCGCCUGAGGAUGAGUCUGCGGCCUAUCAGGUUGUAGUCAGGGUCAAGACUGACUAGCCAGCGACGGGUAUGGGGUGUGAGAGCACUUGCCCAGAGAUGGUUUCUGAGACACGAAACCAGGCCCUACGGGGCGCAGCAGGCGCGAAAACUUCGCAAUGCGGGAAACCGUGACGAGGGAACUCCGAGUGUCUAUGCAUUGCAUAGACUGUUUUUUAGCCUAAAUAGCUAUUAGAGUAAGGGGUGGGCAAGACCGGUGCCAGCCGCCGCGGUAACACCGGCACCCCGAGUGGUAGCCACUAUUAUUGGGCCUAAAGCGUUCGUAGCCGGUUUGGUAAAUUCUUGGGUAAAUCGUACCGCUCAACGGUGCGGAUUCCGGGGACACUACCAGACUUGAGACCGGGGGAGAUCAGAGGUACUUGCGGGGGAGCGGUGAAAUGUUGUAAUCCCGCAGGGACCACCAGUGGCGAAGGCGUCUGAUCAGAACGGCUCUGACGGUGAGGAACGAAACCCUGGGGCGCAAACGGGAUUAGAUACCCCGGUAGUCCAGGGCGUAACGCUGCUGACUUGGUGUUGGGGAUCCUACGAGGAUGUCCAGUGCUGGCGCGAAGGUAUUAAGUCAGCCGCCUGGGGAGUACGGUCGCAAGACUGAAACUAAAGAAUGGCGGGGGAGCACUGCAACCUAUGCAAGCGUGCGGAUUUAGUUGGAGUCACAACCGCGCGCGAGAGAA
rnacentral:rRNA from 1 species